GUUUUUAUGGUGUAAGAAACACAUUAUACUUUCACUAUAAUAUUAAAGCUCUUUUUCUUUUAAAAACU
rnacentral:tRNA from 1 species